rnacentral:rRNA from 1 species
ACUCCUACGGGAGGCAGCAGUGGGGAAUAUUGCACAAUGGGCGCAAGCCUGAUGCAGCCAUGCCGCGUGUAUGAAGAAGGCCUUCGGGUUGUAAAGUACUUUCAGCAGUGAGGAAGGUGGGUAUGUUAAUAGCAUAUUCAUUUGACGUUAGCUGCAGAAGAAGCACCGGCUAACUCCGUGCCAGCAGCCGCGGUAAUACGGAGGGUGCGAGCGUUAAUCGGAAUUACUGGGCGUAAAGCGCAUGCAGGUGGUUUGUUAAGUCAGAUGUGAAAGCCCGGGGCUCAACCUCGGAAUUGCAUUUGAAACUGGCAAACUAGAGUACUGUAGAGGGGGGUAGAAUUUCAGGUGUAGCGGUGAAAUGCGUAGAGAUCUGAAGGAAUACCGGUGGCGAAGGCGGCCCCCUGGACAGAUACUGACACUCAGAUGCGAAAGCGUGGGGAGCAAACAGGAUUAGAUACCCUGGUAGCUUCGUCUAGUCGUAGGAACAAGGCACACAGGGGGGAUA